rnacentral:rRNA from 1 species
UCCAGACUCCUACGGGAGGCAGCAGUGAGGAAUAUUGGUCAAUGGGCGGGAGCCUGAACCAGCCAAGUCGCGUGAGGGACGACGGUCCUAUGGAUUGUAAACCUCUUUUGUCGGGGAACAAAGGCGCCCACGGGUGGGCGGAUGAGUGUACCCGAAGAAAAAGCAUCGGCUAAAUCCGUGCCCGCCGCCGCGGUAAUACGGAGGAUGCGAGCGUUAUCCGGAUUUAUUGGGUUUAAAGGGUGCGUAGGCGGGCAGUCAAGUCAGCGGUAAAAUUGCGGUGCUCAACGCCGUAGAGCCGUUGAAACUGGGGCUCUUGAGUGAGCGAGAAGUAUGCGGAAUGCGUGGUGUAGCGGUGAAAUGCAUAGAUAUCACGCAGAACCCCGAUUGCGAAGGCAGCAUACCGGCGCUCAACUGACGCUGAGGCACGAAAGUGCGGGUAUCGAACAGGA